rnacentral:rRNA from 2 species
CAAGUCGAACGAACUCUGGUAUUGAUUGGUGCUUGCAUCAUGAUUUACAUUUGAGUGAGUGGCGAACUGGUGAGUAACACGUGGGAAACCUGCCCAGAAGCGGGGGAUAACACCUGGAAACAGAUGCUAAUACCGCAUAACAACUUGGACCGCAUGGUCCGAGUUUGAAAGAUGGCUUCGGCUAUCACUUUUGGAUGGUCCCGCGGCGUAUUAGCUAGAUGGUGGGGUAACGGCUCACCAUGGCAAUGAUACGUAGCCGACCUGAGAGGGUAAUCGGCCACAUUGGGACUGAGACACGGCCCAAACUCCUACGGGAGGCAGCAGUAGGGAAUCUUCCACAAUGGACGAAAGUCUGAUGGAGCAACGCCGCGUGAGUGAAGAAGGGUUUCGGCUCGUAAAACUCUGUUGUUAAAGAAGAACAUAUCUGAGAGUAACUGUUCAGGUAUUGACGGUAUUUAACCAGAAAGCCACGGCUAACUACGUGCCAGCAGCCGCGGUAAUACGUAGGUGGCAAGCGUUGUCCGGAUUUAUUGGGCGUAAAGCGAGCGCAGGCGGUUUUUUAAGUCUGAUGUGAAAGCCUUCGGCUCAACCGAAGAAGUGCAUCGGAAACUGGGAAACUUGAGUGCAGAAGAGGACAGUGGAACUCCAU